rnacentral:rRNA from 1 species
UACGUAGGGUGCAAGCGUUGUCCGGAAUGAUUGGGCGUAAAGCGUCCGCAGGUGGCUGUGUAAGUCUGCUGUCAAAGAGCGAAGCUCAACUUCGUAAAGGCAGUGGAAACUACACGGCUAGAGUGCGUUCGGGGCAGAGGGAAUUCCUGGUGUAGCGGUGAAAUGCGUAGAGAUCAGGAAGAACACCGGUGGCGAAGGCGCUCUGCUAGGCCGCAACUGACACUGAGGGACGAAAGCUAGGGGAGCAAAUGGG